CCGCGCCCGGCGGGCGGGGCGGGGCCGGCGGCGGGCAUAUCAAUAAGCGGAGGAAAAGAAACUAACAAGGAUUGCCUCAGUAGCGGCGAGUGAAGAGGCAACAGCCCAAGAUGUUAAUNUGAGCCUCAUGGCAAAGAAUUGUAAUCUAUAGGGAUUCCCGGAAGGAGUCAUUGAGCCAUAAGUCCUUUGGAAAAGGGUACCAUAGAGGGUGAUAGUCCCGUCUUUGGGUUCAAUGCCUAAGCCGAGUUU
rnacentral:rRNA from 1 species